CCCAUACUUAUAAUGAGGCAAAAAGUUCUUUAAGCCAUGCCUAUUUUUAGAAUUAAUACAAUGCGGUGCUAAGUACCUAUUAAAGGUCAGACAACUUGUAAACUUGCCAGGACAAAAAGGUGAAAAACUUACUAAAAGGAUUAGUUGACUCAGCUGUGUUUUUUCUGGUUCAAACUUACUAAAGGGAUUAGUCGACUCAGCUGUGAAUUCAGAAUGGUCUGUCCUUUGGAAAACGUCUACUGUGAUUGGUAGAUGGAAGAACUUAGGGGAGGUGACAUAGGAGAAAACCCCCUAUAUAAGAAAAAGGAAUCUCUUGAGAGAAGGAUCUCUUGAGAAGGAGCUCUUGAGAGACAGGCUCUUUUGAGGACAAUCUCUUGGAGAGAGCUCUUGAGGUCAAUCUCUUGAAGAUGAUCUCUUGAGAAGAAGUCCCUUGGGACUGACUCUGGAUGGAACUCCCUCUGGGGAAACUCUGUCCCCUUGAAUCCUUGCUUGAACAGAUCUUAUGUUUAUGGCAUCCACUCUUUUAAAUGCUACAGACCCCUACCUGGAAUUGCUGCAGGAAAAUUUCUAAAAAGUUUUACAACUAUCUUUUGUCUAGUGUUUCUCUCCUAGCCAAUCAGCAGUCAAGUCUCCCAGUGUGCAUAUAG
rnacentral:lncRNA from 1 species